UACAGAGGUCCCAAGCGUUGUUCGGAUUCAUUGGGCGUAAAGGGUGCGUAGGCGGCGCGGUAAGUCGGGUGUGAAAUCUCGGGGCUUAACUCCGAAACUGCAUUCGAUACUGCCGUGCUUGAGGACUGGAGAGGAGACUGGAAUUUACGGUGUAGCGGUGAAAUGCGUAGAUAUCGUAAGGAAGACCAGUGGCGAAGGCGGGUCUCUGGACAGUUCCUGACGCUGAGGAACGAAAGCUAGGGGAGCAAACAGG
rnacentral:rRNA from 1 species